GAUGAACGCUGGCGGCGUGCCUAAUACAUGCAAGUCGAGCGAACGGACGAGAAGCUUGCUUCUCUGAUGUUAGCGGCGGACGGGUGAGUAACACGUGGAUAACCUACCUAUAAAACUGGGAUAACUUCGGGAAACCGGAGCUAAUACCGGAUAAUAUUUUGAACCGCAUGGUUCAAAAGUAAAAGACGGUCUUGCUGUCACUUAUAGAUGGAUCCGCGCUGCAUUAGCUAGUUGGUAAGGUAACGGCUUACCAAGGCAACGAUGCAUAGCCGACCUGAGAGGGUGAUCGGCCACACUGGAACUGAGACACGGUCCAGACUCCUACGGGAGGCAGCAGUAGGGAAUCUUCCGCAAUGGGCGAAAGCCUGACGGAGCAACGCCGCGUGAGUGAUGAAGGUCUUCGGAUCGUAAAACUCUGUUAUUAGGGAAGAACAUAUGUGUAAGUAACUGUGCACAUCUUGACGGUACCUAAUCAGAAAGCCACGGCUAACUACGUG
rnacentral:rRNA from 1 species